UACGUAGGGUGCAAGCGUUAAUCGGAAUUACUGGGCGUAAAGGGUUUGUAGGUGGUCUGCUAAGUCAGACGUGAAAUCCCUCAGCUUAACUGGGGAACUGCGUCUGAUACUGGCGGACUUGAGGACAGGAGAGGAACGCGGAAUUCCAGGUGUAGCGGUGAAAUGCGUAGAUAUCGGGAGGAACACCAGUGGCGAAGGCGGGUCUCUGGGCCGAAACUGACGCUGAGGAGCGAAAGCAUGGGGAGCGAACAGG
rnacentral:rRNA from 1 species